GUCGGAGAGAGAGAGUGUAUAGCUUCCUUGGACAUGAUGAGCAGGUCUGGAGCUUUUGUGAGUUAAAGAGGAAGAACGCAGUACUACAACGAAUUGAUUGAGGUCCUAUUAUUUGUUAUGAUCUGGUUUGGAUUCAAUUUGAUUAUGAUCUGUAUUGUUAUGGAUUUUGAGGCAAUGGAAGAGUAUUGGGGAAUGAAGUUGGCAUUCUAGAGUCAGAUUCGAGCAAUGUCGAAACCAAACAGUGAUGUUUGGGUGCACUUCACAACCUAUCCACCAUGUUGGACAAUGCAAGAAAUCUCUGAGAACGCUCUUGC